AAUCAAGAUCGCCAAAAGAAGAAGAAAUUGAAAAAACCUGAAAAAUCACAGGAAGAAGAGCAGCCAGAAGUUGAAGACGAGAAGCUACCAGAAGUUGAAACAGCAGAAGAUGCACCCAAGGAGGUAGAAAAGUUACCCGAAAAGAAGCCAGAAAAAUUGCCUCAAAAGUUGGAACCAACGAAACCGAAAACAGAAGAGCUUGAAAAACCUAGAUCAAAAGAAGAAAAAAUUGAUCAGCCUGUCCUUCCCUUGAAAAAAGUCUCUAAAAUUCCCAAAAAAAUAGAGCCAAAAACAACAGAAAUCCCAAAAAUCCAUUUGAAAAGUAAGUUAAAAACUGUUCCAUUUCCAACAGAAGAGAAACAUCCUGUCAUCACUAAAUUAGAACCAGUUCAGGUAGACCACGGUGUACUAUCCAGGAACUAUGAGGAAGCUAAGAAACUUAAGAAAAAGAAGGUAAAGCCUGUUAAAUUGUCUGAUCUGGAGCAGACCGAGCUUGAAGAAUUCAGUCCAACAGAGUUCACGAAACCAGAAAAAGAAGUUUUUGAACCUGAACUUCACAAGUUCAAACGUGAAAAACCAGUUCGCAAGGAAGAAAAACCAGAUGUGCCAGAUUUGAAGCUUGGAAAAGGACAAGUGCCAGAUGUAAAAGACGAAAAAGAGGCAGUCACUUUGAAACCUAUUCCCGAAAAAAUACCUGAAGUAAUUGAGGAAAAACCUGCCCCCAAGAAAAAGUUGGUGGUGAAACCAGUCGAUGAUCAAGAAGAAAUUGAGACAACUGUUUCAUUGAAACCAAUUAAAGCGCCCAAAAAAAGUGUCGAAGAACCUGAGAUUGUAGAUACGGUAACAUUUGUACCUGCACGGAAGAAAACUGUGGAAGACAUCGUCCAAGAUUUCAAAAUUGAAUUGAAUACCUAUGAUGAGGAAGACGUCUCAGUCUCAGAAAAAGUUGCUUUACCGACUUCAGUCAAAAAACCGACUGAUGAAGCGCCAGCUUCUUUAACAGUUCAGCUCAAGCCUUCAGAAGAGGAUCAGCAACCUGCUAAUGUGGUUGACGAGGUCAAAGUCAAGAAGAAAAAACCCAAGAAAGAAAAAGUAAAAUCCGUAGCUGAGGAUACACCCACAGUGCCAUUAGAGGAAUCGAAACCAGUAGAACAGAAGAAACCGGAAGAAUCAGCGACUGAAGCAACUCCCUCACCUACUAUUCCAGAGGAGUUGACAGAUAGAGAAGAGAAACCAGAGGUUUUAGCAGUGGAACCUCAACCAGAAGCUCCUGUUGAAGGGGUGAUAAAGAAAAAGAAAACGAAGAAAUCGAUCACUGAGGAGUUAGCAGAAGUUCAAGGUCUUAAACCACAGCCUGAUGAAAAACUUGGAGAAGUCGUGGUAGAAGAAGUGAAAUUAAAAACAAAGAAACCUAGGAAGUCUCUUGUGGAAGACCUUACCGAAGAAAUCACGAUUGUAAAAACGCAGUCGGAAGAAGCAAAGCCUGAAGAUGUCCAGGUUCAAGAAGUAAAAAUUUCACCAAAGAAACCAAGAAAGUCCGUAGUGGAAGAGGUCUCUGAAGAGGUAACGAUCGUGAAACCCAAAUCAGUUAAAGAAAAGCCUGAAGAAACUGCAGUGGAAACAUUGAAAAUUAAACCGAAGAAACCGAAGAAAUCAGUGGUUGAGGAAGUUGCAGCAGAAGUCACGAUUGUUAAACCUCAGCCAGAUGCAGAAAAGCCUGAAGAGGAGGUCAUAGAAGAGGUGAAAAUAAAGAAGAAGCCCAGGGUUUCAGUCACAGAGGAAAUCAUUGAAGAAAACAUAACUCUGAAACCUGGACCUAAGAAAGAAGUAUUGGAAGAAGUGACCUCAGAAGAUGUUAAAGUUACACCAAAGAAACCUAAAAAAUCACGUACUGAAGAGGUUGCUGAGGAAAUAACAAUAAAGAAACCUGCUAAAGAAUCAGAUGAAGAUGUAGUCAUGCAAGAAAUUAAAUUAAAACCAAAAAAGAAACUUGUGACAGAAGAGGUUUCAGAGGAGGUUACCAUUACAAAAUCACAAGUUAAAGAAGAAAUCCCUGAAGAAUUUGUAAUAAGACCGAAGAAACCUCAAAAGACGCUUCCAGAAGAUGUUUCAGAGGAAAUCACCAUUUCCAAACCGGUAAAGAAAAAAGUUGGCCCCGAAGAAACGAUAAGUGGAGAAAUUAAGUUAAAGAAGAAGAAAUCUAAGAAAACAGUCGUCGAAGAAGCAGCCGAUGAGAUUCUAAUUCAGAAAGAGGCAGAGAUAGAGGAGGAGGAGGAGCCUCAGAGCGUCAUCAUCGAAGAGCUCGUCGAUCAACCUGAGGAAACUGAACAUGCAGAGGAGAUAUCAAUUGAAGAGGAUAAACCUACAAAGCAAAGGCCCAAAGAAGGAAAACCAGCAAAAGUUAUUGAAGAUUCUAAGUCAAAGAAACUCCGAAAGAAAUCAGCAACCAUUGAUAUUUCAGAGGUAUCGGAAGAAAUGUUGCCAGAAACAACCACAACUGAAGAAGAGAAGAAACCAGAUGAAAAAGAAGUGACUGAAGAAAAAACUCUCAAGAAGAGGAGACCAUCAAAACCAAAAGUAGAAGAAACAGAAACAGUUACAACAGUCAAACAGAAACGCAAAAAAUCCAGUGUCGAUGAAAGCAUUUCUGAAGAGGUUACCUUGGUGCAAAAGAAACCAAAGAAACCUGAGGAAAAAGUCUCAGAUGAGACUACCAUCGUUAAAGAAACUGGAGUGGAUGAUUCAGAGGAUAUAAGUAUGAUUGAAGAGCUGCCUGAAGAGGUGACUUCUCAGUCAUUUAAACUGAAGAAGAGGGUCGAGAAGCGGAAGCCAUCGGUCACUGAAGAAGGUGAAGUUGAGUUCUCAAUAAAGAAAUCCAAGCCCAAACCCAAACCACAAGAGGAAGUAUCAAUGGAGAGCGAGUUUACACUUGUACCUCGAAAGACAAAAACUGUUGAGGAUAUUGAUCAGGAAUUCAAGAUCUCCCUCAACACCUAUGAGGAGGAAGAUGUAUCAAUGACUGGCAAAGUGAAGUUGGCACGGAAACCGUCUCUGCAACCGAAGCUUGAGGAAGAAUCUGCAGAACUAACAGUUCAGAAGGAGGUGACUAUUAAGGAAGAAGAAGCUGAUAUCAGUGUUCCACUUAAAAGGAGGAAGAGUUCCGUAGUGAAGUACAGUGUGGAAGAGGUUGAUGAGGAGGAAGUCCAGGUCAAGCGAAAUUUGAAGCAGCGCAAGAGCAUUAUCAGUGAAGAGGAGUCAUUGAAUAUCAAAGUCAAACGCAAACCAUCAGCUCCAUCCUUCCAUCAAGGUACUGUUCCAUUUGUAGCUCUGAUUGCACUGUCGGGCUGA
rnacentral:lncRNA from 1 species